rnacentral:lncRNA from 1 species
AAUUCUUCAUUCAUAGCCUUUUGCCAUUUGGGGUGUUGAAUGGCAUCGACAAGUCCCACAGGUUCUGAUUCUGCAAGAAAAGCAAAGUGAACCAAAUCUCCAUUGUCAUCAACUUCAUCAUCAAGAUUUACUUCGCAAUCUUGAAGAUGUACAGGUUGUCGUUGUUGCCUUCUUGGUCGCUCCAUCAUAGUUGCAAUUGGAGUUGCAACUUCAGGUUGAAUUACAACUUCAGGUUGAACUGUAGGUGCUUCAAAAAGUGACUCUAUCUUCC